CCUCCGCCGCCCGGGGGGCGCGUACCGGGCCCGGCUCUGCGCGCCCCGCACGGACCCUCCCGGCGGAGCGGUGAGGAUCCCCCUUCCCGCUUUACGCCCUCGGGUUGGAGCAUUUGCGCCGGGACGGGGCGGGAUCUCCCUGCCCUCCGCCGGCCCGGUGCCCUCCAGCGUGUGAGCUGCUGCUCCGCGGCCGCGCACUGCCGCGCUGGCGGCGGGGGGUCUGCCUGGCACGGGGUCCUCCUCUGCGGGGUCUUCCGCGGCCGCGCUGCUCUUCAUAGCGUAGUUGGUGCCAUUUAACCUUGUCAUUUUUAUAUAUAUAUAUAUAUAUGCAUACAACACACAGGCACACCGACAUACAUACAAUUUAUUUAUAAAAAAGCCCCGUCGCCCCGUCUCCGCAGCCUACUCGUCGCGUCGGGGGUUGGGGUCCGCAGUCCGGCUUUUUUGUGUCCUUACUGUGCCCCCAGCCCAGGGAAAGCCGCUAAGCCGCCCUCCUUUUGUGCCCCUUCUCCCGGCCCUCCGGAUGCGCCCGUCUCGGGACAGGGGCCCGCAGCGACCCCCCGCACCUGCCCCCGCCGCGGGGCGCCCGGGCGGGAGGCUCGUCCCCUGCCUUUUCCCCUUGGACCAGGUUUGCAGAGGGACCAGCCGCUGCAGAGCACGCGUCGGAGAGCCGGGACGGCUUGGGUGCUUAGUCCGGGAGCUAAAGCAGAAACCCCUCAAUGACACCGUGCAAGCAGUUCCAUAUGGAAACCCAAUCGAUGAGGUUCUUCUUCUAAAAGAAUGAAAUUGCGUUACUAGACACCCUGAACUGCACAGAAACAUCCAGUUUUAGCAUGCUGUCUGUCUCAUCCACAGGAGAUAUUCAUCAGAUGCACUGCACCCGAGAAGUGCCUAAUACUCUUCACUGACUAUCAGCUUCUUUUUUCCUUAGGUCACCCGACACACAGAUGCAAGUUUAAAAAAGCUGAACUCGGUGGGGAACAUCAGGAGCGUAGGCAGAAGUACUGCAGCCAGACUGGACCGGGAGGGCAAAAUCUGCCGAUCAGUCUCUGGGACUGGACUGUCACCUUGUCAGGAAUUGUUUUGCCACAAUGAAAUUAUUCUGAAAUGAAGCUCCUUGUUAAGCCUUUUCUUAAUAUAUCUUCAUUUUUUAUAUUUUGGCAUUUCAGCAAUCGCUGUUACACAACUUUGGGUAAGCAAGACAGUUUUUCAAAAUACAGCACUUCAGUGCAGCAGGCCGAGACCUUGCUUCUGCCAUAUAAACAGCACCAUCUUCAGGCAGCUUUGAAAAGCUAUCAAUUACCUAACAGGGACUUGGCCAUCGCUCACACUGGGGGAGCUCUGUUUCUCAUGCCGAAAUUGCAGCUCUCCUACUGUUGGUUUUUGUCCUGCUUUUCUGUCUUUCUUUAAGCCUCACAAUGAAUUUCUCCAGUGCAGACCUCCAGGCAGGACAUGGAGAUGAAAUCUGUCCUGCAUUUUUAUGGUUUUUACAAGAAGAUACAGUCACAAUGCCACUGAAAUAAUCCCAGUGAUCUGAUUUAUGAUGUCAAAGUUACCCUCUCAAUUUAAAACACAACAAGCAGUCUCCUUCAGCAACACUCUCUGCUUCUGUUUAUGACUGAAUCUUCCCUCAGGUGCACUCCAAAAUUUUCUUUGGACAGCUGUUUCACCGUUGUAUCUGUUUCAUACUGCUUGUUCCAACAAUUUCAUAUUUCAAUAAUUUGGUGUGUUUCUUUCCAUCUCUGCAAUGGAGUUAGUGGGAUUUGCAACCUAGUUUAUUUUCAUCAAUACAUCUCAGCCAGCAUAUUUCAAGUCUAUGGUUUUUAAGCUUAAAAGAGAGAGAAAGAGAGAUCGAUUAUAUUUCAUGACCUACUUGAUUGAUUUAAUUUUAUACUUUUAACACAAUAAAAGUCUAGCUGAGACAAAAGAAAUAAAUGAAUUAUCAGGUUGUA